GACGUAGGGCGCGAGCGUUGUCCGGAUUUAUUGGGCGUAAAGAGCUCGUAGGCGGCUUGUCGCGUCGACCGUGAAAACUUGGGGCUCAACCCCAAGCCUGCGGUCGAUACGGGCAGGCUAGAGUUCGGCAGGGGAGACUGGAAUUCCUGGUGUAGCGGUGAAAUGCGCAGAUAUCAGGAGGAACACCGGUGGCGAAGGCGGGUCUCUGGGCCGAUACUGACGCUGAGGAGCGAAAGCGUGGGGAGCGAAACAGG
rnacentral:rRNA from 1 species